GUUCAUAGUCUUCAACUCAGCCAAGCGCAAAUCCUCGCUAUCGACGAAGGCUUUGGCACGAUGCAAUCGGGUACCUGAACUAGAAGAGCGAAAGUUACCACUUGCCACCCUACCUACCCGUUCCGUUCGAAACUUCCUAUGAAACUAAACAAAUAGCAAAAGAUCUUUGAAUUUGAUUGCCGAAGGUGUGGACCAUUAUCAGUUUGUAACAUUGGAGUAAAAAAAAUAAUAUUUUCAAAAAUCGCCAUCGAAGGGACCCUCAAUCGUGGAAUUGAUCAGAGAAAUGAUUUUGAGCAACAUCAAGCCAAUUGCACUUUUAAAUGUUGCCAGUAAAUUGGGAGAUAUUAUCUGCUACGUUUUGAUGGUAUUAACAUUCCAUUCUAUAUUUUUUUAAGGGAAGGAAUAAUUUUGGAUCGAGAUGAAUGCCGGUGUACUCCAUUAGCCAAUAGAAUAUUCCAAAUUCCUUACUUCCGAUACAAGUAUCCUUUCCUUGAGGCCAAUCAUUCUUUUUACGAACGGAAGGAUUGGUUGUCUGUGCAUCAUAGCAAACAUGUGAAACUCGUGCUUAUACAAAAUGAUAGCUGAUUGUGCCGCUGAAAUAAGGAAAGCGAUCAUCAAUUGAAGUAAAACGUGCAUUUCGAAUUUGACAACAGAACGCAGUGGUUAAAGAGUAAAAGAGAAAGAGAGACAGAGAGAGAGAGAGAGAGAGAGAGUAAGAAACUUUUUCCUUUUCAUACUUUCUUAUAAUUCUUUAUUGACUAGGAUCAGACUGGUACAUAUAUAUAUAUACCGAUAUAUAGAUACACAUGUAUACAUAUAUAUAUCGGUAUAUAUAUAU